rnacentral:rRNA from 1 species
UGGGGAGUACGGCGGCAAGGUUAAAACUCAAAUGAAUUGACGGGGGUCCGCACAAGCGAUGGAGCAUGUGGUUUAAUUUGAUGCAACGCGAAGAACCUUACGUACUCUUGACAUCCAGAGAACAUUCCAGAGAUAGAUUGGUGCCUUCGGGAACUCUGAGACAGGUGAUGCAUGGCUGUCGUCAGCUCGUGUUGUGAAAUGUUGGGUUAAGUCACGCAUCGAGCGCAACCCUUAUCCUUUGUUUCCAGCGAUUUGGUCGGGAACUCAAAGGAGACUGCCGGUGAUAAACCGGAGGAAGGUGGGGAUGACGUCAAGUCAUCAUGGCCCUUACGAGUAGGGCUACACACGUUCUACAAUGGCGUAUACAGAGGGAAGCGAGAGUGCGAGCUGGAGCGAAUCUCACAAAGUAAGUGUAAGUCCGGAUUGGAGUAUGCAACUGGACUCCAUGAAGUCGGAAUCGUUAGUAAUCGCAAAUCAGAAUGUUGCGGUGAAUACGUUCCCGGGCCUUGUACACACCGCCCGUCACACCAUGGGAGUGGGUUGUACCAGAAGUAGAUAGCUUAACCUUCGGGGGGGCGUUUACCACGGUAUGA